rnacentral:snRNA from 1 species
AAUGCUUCUCGGCCCUUUGGCUAAGAGCAAGUGCAGCGUCUGCUCUUAUCAAUUUAAUAUCUGAUAUGUCCUCUAUCCGAGGACAAUUUAUUAAAUGGAUUUUUGGAGCUGGGACUUGGGAUGGAAGCUUACUCCACCCACUCCACAAACUGACCUUGUAUUGCAGUACCUCCAGGGUCAGUGCAGGGAAG